CUCUCGAGGGCUGUAAUGAGAAAGGUUCGGGGAAGUGUCUGCGCGAGUCUUGUCAGCGCACUGGAGGACCCGUUCUUAAUCGUCUCAUUUCUCAUCAACAUCCUCAUCUGGCGGUGGAUUGUUCUUCAUCUCCUGUGUGACAAAGUGCUGAUGGGUUUAACCAGACCUCAGUUACGGAGAUUCCAGGGGCCCAGUCAUCGGAAUUUGCUGUAGCGGCUGGAUUUUCUUUGAGUGGAAAUUCAACGGAAUCAUCGUCUUAAAAGGGAUGAUCUCACGCAUCAUAUCUGUAUCAUCUGCCUCUGUUCCAUGGUGAGUUUGUUUCUUCUCUCCUGUAUUCCCGGACUGCUGCCAGCUCCUGGCUUCUCCUAAAUGGCUAAACCGCCCGCUGCAGGCUUCAAAAGCCACAUUCAACACAACAUAAUUCUCCCCCGGGACUUUAUUCAUUUCUCCGCUCACUAUAUAUGCAAAUGGUGUCGAGCCGUGGUCCACAAUAGUCGAAAAAUGACAUGCUGUUCAUGGAGCUUUGAAUAAAGGUGUGUUGUUGUCGGCUGUUGUGAGAGCAACAACAGGAGAACAUAUCGAUUUGAACCUCGGCUCUUUGAGGAUGGGUCUAAUAAUAGGCCUUUGAUUGAAAGCCUCACCGGAGUCUGAUUCUCAUCACACUCCAACAUGGAACAUGGGCAACAUCCUGCUGGAAGAGGAGCAGCGUGUGUCGUCUUUAAAUGAGCAGCAACUCUGCUCUGAGUCCGAGUCAGAGCCCUGCGCUCACAGUGGAGACGGCAGAUGAUGCUCAGAGAACAGUUGUGCUCAGCUUCUGCGACUGGCUAUCACUGAAGUCUGCGCUGACAGCCAGCGGAGCAGAACCAGCUCUCAGAUCUGAGAGAUAUUCACGCCAGGAUGGAAGAUAGAUGGAUGGAUGGAUGGAUGGAUGGAUAGAUAGAUAGAUAGAUAGAUGGAUGGAUAGAUGGAUGGAUAGAUGGAUGGAUAGAUGGAUGGAUAGAUGGAUAGAUAGAUGGAUGGAUAGAUAGAUAGAUGGAUAGAUAGAUGGAUAGAUAGAUAGAUAGAUAGAUAGAUAGAUGGAUAGAUGGAUGGAUGGAUGGAUGGAUGGAUGGAUGGAUGGAUGGAUAGAUAGAUAGAUAGAUAGAUAGAUAGAUAGAUAGAUAGAUAGAUAGAUAGAUAGAUAGAUAGAUAGAUAGAUAGAUAGAUAGAUGGAUGAUAGAUAGAUAGAUAGACAGAUAGAUAUGUGUUAUAUUGAUAGAUAUAUGUUGUGUUGAAGUUGUGCUCUACGUUGUUCUCCAGGGUAAGAGUUCCCCGGUAGAUCUGUUAAUCCAGCGAACCAGCGACAGACUCACAAUAGAGAAGCAGCGUCUCGUGGAUGGAGAUUAUAUUCCCAACGUGAAGGGACUAGUUUUACCAGGGACCCGACAGGAAGUCAUUCACCUGUAGAGGACGAGUGGAACGCAGCAGCAGCAGCUGUGGUGAAUGUGAAUGUGUCACUAAGACACAAUAAACAACAGAGCCACAGCGUUGGAGACAAGAUAGGACCUUCUGCACGUGUUGGUCUUUAAUGGCGAGCACAAUGAACUUGUGUACCACAGGCGCGGUGAAUCAACAGCGGCUGCCUAAAUGAGAGCGGCUCUACUACUUCGACGACUGGCUGUUUAAUGAGAGCAUUUCUCAGUCCCAACACAGCAGUCGGAGAAUUUCCUCAAACGCUUUUGUGCAGACCAAUUAAAAGAGGGUCGGCUCCGCUGCCUCCCAGGCUCUUUUUGUCCACACUUUUGCGAGCAUGUGUUUUCAUCCUGAACAUGGGAAGCGAUGGGAAGCAGGGUAGGAAGUUGCUGACUCACAAGCGAGUCACCUGCAGAGGGCCUCCGUCUGCGUUCAGAGCCCAGUCACUCGGGGAGAGAAGUGGAAGCUGAACUUCAGGGCGCGGUUGACACACGUUCAUUUCCCUUUCAUUUUCAUUCUGACUCUCAAGUGUUCCUGCCGCUCUUCUGCUGCUCGUGUUCAGUUGUUUUGUUUUCAAGUGCUGCUGUUUGAUUUCAAGAUCAUUUUUGUUUUCCAGCUCUGUCAACUAGCUUUAGUGGUUUCAUUUGUUUUGCUUUUCUAUUAUUAUUGUCAGGUUUUAUUUCUUUGUAUUAUUUUGUUCUUCUGGUAGUUUGAAUGUUUGUUUAUUUCCUGUUUUAUUUUGGUGAGCUUAGUCUGGACUUCCUGUCUUAACCCCCUUUGUCUUGUCUGUCUCCCUUUCAUUGAUUGCACCGAGUCGCCUCGUCAAGUCAUCGUCAUGCCAUUGUCUUCUUGUCAAGUCAAGUCAAGUCUCCACGUCAAAUCAAGUCUUCAUCUAUUUAAAUCUUGUCUAGUACCUGUCAAGUGACGUUGUUGUCUUGCCCAUUAAGUCAAGACAAGUAGUCAGUCAUUGUGAUGUCUUUCCCCAUCAAGUCACAUCCUGACGUCAAGUCAAAUAACCCUCUAUUUGUACUUCGUCUAGUCACUGUAAAGUCAAGUUGUCGUCUCGUCUCAUCAUGUUAAGUCAAGUUUCCAGGUCGAGUCGAGAAACCGUCUUGUCAAGUCAUCAUCUGGCCUUGUCCCAUCAGGUCUCCACGUCAAGUCAAUUAACCGCCUAUUUGUAUCUUGUCUAGUUACCGUCAAGUCAUGUUAUCGUCUCAUCUCAUAAAGUUAAGUCAAGUCUCCACUUCAAGUGGAGAAACUGUCUUGUAAAGACAUCAUCUCGCCCCCUCCCGUCAAGUCAAGACUCCACGUCAAGUCAAUUAACUGUCUAUUUGUAUCUUGUCUAGUCAUCAUCAAGUCAUGUUGUCGUCUCAUUUCAUCAAGUUAAGUCAAGUCUCCACUUCAAGUGGAGAAACCGUCUUGUCAAGUCAUCAUCUCGCCCCCUCCCUUCAAGUCAAGACUCCACGUCAAGUCAAUUAACUGUCUAUUUGUAUCUUGUCUAGUCACCAUCAAGUCAUGUUGUCGUCUCAUUUCAUCAAGUUAAGUCAAGUCUCCACUUCAAGUGGAGAAACCGUCUUGUCAAGUCAUCAUCUCGCCCCCUCCCUUCAAGUCAAGACUCCAUGUCAAGUCAAGUAACUAUUUGUACUUCGUCUAGUCACCGCCAAGUCAAGUUGUUGUCUCAUCUCAUCAAGUCAAGUCGAGAAACCGUCUCGACAAGUCAUCAGCUCACCUUGUCCCGUCAAGUCAAGUCUCCACAUCAAGUUAAGUUGUCGACCAUCUGGUCAAGUCCCAUCUCAUCAAGUCCCCCAGUCAAGUAACUGUCUAUUUGUAUCUCCUCUAGUAACUGUCAAGUCAAACUGUCUUCAAGUUAAAAUCAAGCCUUGUCUAGUCAAGUCAUCGUCCAGUCUUUUCAACAUCUAUAAAAUAUGCAGUUGUGGUGGUCGUCUCCUGGAGUUGAACCUGCAACUUCCAAACACCAGCAAGGAAGAACACGGAUGCAGAUGUCCAGACGCACCAGCCGCUGACAGUCGGCGGAGCCAUCACCCAGUUCCCCAGCCUGCGGGCUUUUCUUUCUUCCUCCGUCGUGACUUCCUGUCGCCCGACUCCAAGCGCUUCAAAUGAUUAACCUGGGCACACCUCGGCUGUCACCUGUCUCCCAAAGUCUGGGGAAGAAACUAAUCUUUGGAUUUCACUGGAAAACUUCACACGAGGUUGAAAUGUUUUCACGGUUUGACGUCUUGAAACUCCAAACCUGAAUGAAAGAUGCAGAGUGUUUUAA